rnacentral:snRNA from 1 species
CGCCAUAGGUCUCUCCUCAAAUCCACGUAUUAAUCUUUCGCCUUUUACUAAAGAUUACCGUGGGGAGGGACACUCCAAUGAGCCUAUAGGCCAAUUUUUGAGAGGGCCAGUACGUCUCCAGGCUCC